CUGGCGGCAUGCCUAACACAUGCAAGUCGAACGAGAUCUUCGGAUCUAGUGGCGCACGGGUGAGUAACGCGUGGGAACCUACCUUUUAGUAUGGGACAACGUUUGGAAACGAACGCUAAUACCGUAUACGCCCUCCGGGGGAAAGGUCAGCCGCUGAAAGAGGGGCCCGCGUCUGAUUAGCUUGUUGGUAAGGUAAUGGCUUACCAAGGCUACGAUCAGUAGCUGGUCUGAGAGGAUGAUCAGCCACACUGGGACUGAGACACGGCCCAGACUCCUACGGGAGGCAGCAGUGGGGAAUAUUGGACAAUGGAGGCAACUCUGAUCCAGCAAUGCCGCGUGUGUGAUGAAGGCCCUAGGGUUGUAAAGCACUUUCAACGGUGAAGAUGAUGACGGUAGCCGUAGAAGAAGCCCCGGCUAA
rnacentral:rRNA from 1 species